rnacentral:rRNA from 1 species
UAGCCGUAAACGAUACUCGCUAGGUGUCGGCCACGGUGCGACCGUUGUCGGUGCCGUAGGGAAGCCGUGAAGCGAGCCACCCGGGAAGUACGGCCGCAAGGCUGAAACUUAAAGGAAUUGGCGGGGGGGCACCACAACGGGUGGAGCCUGCGGUUUAAUUGGACUCAACGCCGGAAAUCUUACCGGGACCGACAGCAACAUGAAGGCCAAGCUGAAGACUUUGCCGGAUUAGCUGAGAGGAGGUGCAUGGCGUAGACGUCU